GGAACCCGAUGAUGUGCACAUUGUUUGACUUUUAUUAUUGACAGGUCCAGUUUUUCUGCAAGUCCCUCAGAUGCUUAAACCUCUUGAAAAGGACAUCGGACCAUGAUGCUCCUCUGGAUUAGAGGAUAAAUUCCAUUUUAAUUUCUUGGUAGAAUUCAGUAUUGAUCUUCUCACAGAGAGGCACACAGAGGCAGCAGGAUGAAAGCACUGCAACAUUAUCCCAGGAACGCUGUCCACUCACAGGGCUUCCCUAUGUCUUCCUCUACUCCGCUGGAAGCUUGACUUCAGCAGAUCUCAGGGCAUGCUUCCCUACUGGAAUAAGGCUUGAAACUGAACUAAAAGUUGGGCCGUUUUUUCCAUCACCUGAAGAACAGAAGAAUUAA
rnacentral:lncRNA from 1 species